rnacentral:lncRNA from 1 species
CGCAGAGGUAUGGCAUAUUUGACGCUCUUGAACAGUCAAUCUGAAGCAGCCAUUUCUGAUUGGCUUCCAUUGCGCAUGCACACGCUAUUUUGUCCUGAUUCUGUCAACUGAUAUCUUAAUGUUUAGCGAGUAGCUAGCUAAAACCACAGACAAACAAUUAGCAUUGUAAUAGUUUUUUUGCUAGGAUAUCAAGCUGACACUAUCGUAAGGAGAGCUGCUAAGCAACUAAAGGUAUCUAGCUAGCAUACCUGGCUAAUUACCUAGAUAGGUUAGCUGUCUAGCCACAAAUGGCACAAUGAGCUAGAUAUUUCACCGGAUGUAUAAAUGUGAAUCAUCUGGUUGUCGUUUCCACUCACUACCAAAUAUGGUGAUGAGAGGAAGCUAGGUUGCCAGCAGUGAGAGAAGAUGGAGGGAGAUUUUGACGGACAUUCUGCAAAUUUUCUCAUCGAUGAAACAUUUUAUCUCCAUACAGUUUUCUGUUUCCAAAACUAGAACCAGUAACAAACAGAGUGGACUGCGGUUUGUAGACUUCACCAUUUGGAUGGAGGACAGGGAGGAAAGCCAGGAGUUAUCAUGUUCCUCAGCAACACCAGAGAGAAUCUCCACCCCUCCAGAACCAUCCAUGUCCUCCAAACACAGGAAGUCACCUAAGGGACGGCAGGAGGGAAAGAGGUCUCAACGCCAUCACACACUUGCUGCUGCCCGACUGAUAGCAAGGCAGGUUUCCCGGCCAACAGGAACACUCCGAGCCAUCUGGGUCUUCGACGGCGGAGAUCUCCCCUAAUAAUUAUGGGUCUGAGAGAUGCAGAGAGCUGACUUUCUCCAUGGUGUCACGGCCGUCGUAAGGAUUGGACCAAAAUGCAGCGGGUUGGUACCUCACGAACAGGAGACAACGAUUCAGAGUUGCAGAGGGUCUGCGUUUCUGCUAGACUGGGUUAAGAUGACAUCUAUAACUGUAUUGACCGGAUCAUCUGUUUGGGAGGAGAUGGGACUCUACUCUGCGCCUUCUCUCUCUUUAAGCUUUUAUGGUCAUACCCCAACAGAAGGCAUGAACAGCAGCCCGGCCCAGCGCCUCAUGGCACGGCGCUGAAAAGCAGCUCUGCCAGUAGCCAACACUCUCCUGGAGACCUGUGUGGUGACAGACGUGCUGGAGAAGCUUUGUCACAGAAGACAGGCAUCCAAGUUCAUCUAUGGACCACUGUACUGUCGUAACAGGGUUGACCUUCGGAUUGCUGAGCCAGCACUUACUCAGAACCCUAAUGACAAUAGGGGUUGCAUGACAAAGGAUGGACCCCAGCAAGUCAUGUGGGGCCUGAGGCACAGUACGAAGAGCUAGGGGAUCACAAGGCAGCCGCUCCCUCACCCAUCAACACUCCCCUCAGACAGUCAGGUGACACGCCUGCAAGUGAUCUCACAGAAAAGCCCCGUCUUUUCAUUCUGUUAUGUACUGUUGACAGACAGAAAAAAAUACAUGUAAAAGAAGGGGAAAAAUAAGUAUUUAUUUUAUACCUGAAAAAACUGUUCAUGAUGAAUAUUAUUACUAGGUUUGUUUUGUUAUUGAAUUGACAGCUCCUGUCCUACUUUAUAAAAGGGUGAUGUUAUGGGUGUAAGACGGCAUGUUGAUGCAGCAGUGUUUUUACCGGUGUGCUUGACAUACCUGGAUGUAUUGCAAUGUGCUGAACAAGACUGGUUACUCGCAUCAAUGACUCUGUCUAGUCAUUUACGUUCCAGACAGCAUUGAAAGUAUUGAAAAACCAUCCAGUGGCUUUUUUCAAAACCCCCGGUAUACGGUAUAUACUGUAUAACGCCUAAGCCUAUCGUGAACUCAUCAGGGUGUCCAGUGUGGCAGUCCCCUGCACCAACCUCUCCUAACUGUAUAUGUGUGUGUCUUUCAGAGGGGUUGGGAUAAAGCAGAAGUCCUUGGACCUUGUGUUCAACAAAUAAAGGGAUCUUAAUCUUAAUAGUAUCUCUUUGCCAUUCACCCAUGUCGUCUUCCUGUCAUUUCAUGACCUUACUACUUAUCUGUCAUGACCCUAAUCAACUUGUCUUUGCAGCCAUUCCUGGGAAGCCCCUUUCUACUGUACUAUUAUUAUGUUUUAGAAUUUACUUGUAAUUUACUCUGCAGCUUCUAAUUUAAACCAUAGUACCAUUGUGGUUUUCUUAUUCACUUCCAAUUAUUAGCUAUUAUGUACAGUUUUCCAAGAGACAUCUAUGCUACGCUGCUACACUACACUGUAUGUAACAGGUGACAUCAUUCACAUGAGGUAGUGAUGGAUGCCCCAUAUUGUUGAUGUCUUCCAUGCUGUUACACAGCUAUUAUGUACCGUUUUCCAAGAAACUCGUUCAACGUUUAUGCCACACUGCUACACUAUGUAACAAUGAGGUGGUGGCGUGUAUUCAUGGGUGCCAAGAGAAGCCAGACUUCCCCAAAAAAUGUAGCAAGAAAAAUAAAUGCAGAUAAUAAUUGA